UACCUUUGAGAACUGAAGGAUGGAAGGGC
rnacentral:piRNA from 1 species